UCCGAGUGGAGGAAGGGGGGAGUUAUCUGAUAACUGACCACCCCCGAAAGAACAAAAGGGGAUUUUUAUGCCAUUGCAGUAUUAUCGGAUUUGGCUACAAAAAAUUGACAUACCAGGGAUACCUUAUUCUUCUUAGUUUCUCUCUCCAAAGGCCUCAAGUGACCAAAGAUCACAAUCACCGUCUUGCUCUCCCAAUUCGAAUCUAUAUAUUGUAAGUUUACAAAGCCCCGGCAGAUGCGGCUACCUUAAAAGCGAGCUUGAGCUUACAGGUAUUCCAAAUAAGGAACAAUGAUGGGUGAAUGCUUUGACAAUUAUCAUUGAUGAAAACAGCUGUUUUCUUUGCCUUUCAAACACGCGGCCUUCUCCCAUGGACCUUCGUUACUCAAUCCCGGACGAUUUUACUGUUUAAUUAAUGGGAAUGACGACUUAGACCAAAAUCCCUAACGUCCAAUUCCCCCCAACCCCCUCUGACAUCGGUACCAUACGCGUACCCCAAAAAAUUGGGGUACGCGUAUGAUGGGAAGAUGUUGGGAAGGUGAAAAGCCUUAUGACGCUCAAGUGAAACGCGCUGUAAAACCUACAUAAACUAAAACAUGUACUAUCAUAGUAUUUAAUAGUAAUGCCCCCUCAUUCACCGUCACAAGUCUUUGAGAUUUUAAUCAUUUUACAUCAUCCUUUCUUUAUCAAGUCCGUCCUGAAUUCUGUGAAAAAUCUGAGCGUCCCUGGUACGGACUAGUAUAAGGCCAGACGGUUAACCUGACGUGUCAAGCAAAUGGUGCCCCGGUACCAGAUGUUCAGCGGUAUAACAAUGGGACUUUCAUUACAAGUGGCGAGGCGAUGACUGUUAAUUGGAGUAGCCCUUCUGGGAACUAUUCCUGCACAGCUUCUAAUAACUUUGGUGUCGUGCGUAGAAGCAUCUUCAUCGAAAAACGGGCUGAGUCGCACAGACAGACUUACAGACAGACUUACAGACAGACCGGAAGGUGGUCUUGAGAGGUCGGACAUCUUGUGUUGCCGAGGCAAGAGAAGUCAGCUGAGAGCUCUUAGGGGAUUUUAAAAGCCUGUACUGCUAAACCAAUCCAACAGCCGCUGGACACUUUGCUGGCGGGCUAGUUCACAUGGUUGGUCGGGCUCAACACUCUUUAACAGGGAAUUACAGAUCUUCAACUCGAUCCUUCUUGUUCAGUUUGUACAACAUCAUAGGCUCUUACCCCCUCAAGCUGCCAGUGUACGACCACAGCAAAAGCAUCUAUGAUGGUGGUAAACCUCCCGCACUUGGCUCAGGGCGUGACCUGUUUGUAAGCCAAACAUCCACAACAACUCCAGGAUCAUACAAGGCUCCCCCUGGUUGCAGAGUAGAGUUAAGAUGCAAUUUCUUUGCCGGAGAAAGUAGGUUUACUACUGACAAGGUCUUCUAUGAAAGUCAUUAAAGUCUUGGGGUUGCAACUGUUCGUAUCAAACAGAACAAGUCUGCUACCUUAAUCGGAGCUACGACGGUUUGAUUGACAUCCAUUGUCACGUGAUCGCUUUGUACGUCAUGCAGUUUUUUAAAGUAACCGUAGUUAUGGUAAUGGUAAUAUAGUAGUGGCCGACAGUGGUUAUUCUCCAAAGUAAAAUAACAUAUCGAUAACAAGAGCUAGUGAAAUUUAUCAUUUUAAUCUGUUUUAUUAGUACACAGUGAUAUUGACUUGUUAACACUUUUAUUCUACAUAAAAUUGGUGGAAUUUCCCGUAAUAUUCCUUAUGAUAGUAAUAUGUGCAGACAAAAUUGUACUCAAUUUGCUAUAGCUAAUUCAAUGGAUUUGGUUUAAAACCUCCCACUUUUUAGGGCGAAGAGGGUUAAUAACGAUAAUAAGAAUCUGAAGUGCGGGUGCGUGCCCAGGAUUGGCGGAGGGGUGUGGGGGUGGGGGGAUGCGUAGUCAUAGGUAUCAUGGAAAAAAAGCAUAGUACUUGAAGAUUCCUUAAAAAAGUACCCACUUUUUGCCGCCAAGAGGAGAGGGGUGCGCGUGCACCCUGUCCCCCCCCCCCAUCCCCCCCCCCCCAUCCCCUGUAUACGCGCCUGACCUGUACAAAAACCUAAAGAUGUAAAUUGUACAAAUCUGGGACGGGAAAUGAACAACAGCUGUCCGUCAUUUAAGGGAAAUAAAUAAAUGACUGAAGAGCG